rnacentral:lncRNA from 1 species
GCUCAGGUUCACUUUGAGAGACUUUGUCUCAAAGAAAUAUGAUGGGGAACAUUGAGGAAGGCACUGAUGUCAACCCUUGGCCUUACUGGCAUGCAUGCAUGAAAACACUGUUAAGAAGAAACAAAAUGAAGCCCAGGGAUAAUGAAAUCUCCCCACCCCAAAUUCUUCUUUGCUAAUUCUACUUCCUCACAUCAUGGUAUCCUAUGGAUCUUGUCGUGUACCCUGUUUCCUAUUUAGUCUUUCUUCCUGUACAUUUUUACUCUGUGGCUCAAAAAAAAAAAAAAAAAAGUUUAUUAUUUGUUCCUAAGAAGAGAGGGUAUCGAGGGUAUCACUUUCAGCUUUUUUCCUUACCUCUUGAAUUUAUUAUAAAUGUAUUAAGGUUAGAAAACUUGAAUUAAUACUUCUCCCAAACUUACUGUCCAUUAAAGAAAUUGAGAGCACCAGGGCUGGGGUGAUGACACACUGGGUAACAUACAUCCUUGGAACGUGCUGGCCACAAGCCUAGCCAAAACUGCUAACUCCACUAGUUCAGCACAAUAUCUCGUCUCCACAUAGUAAGGAAACUUCUUCCUUCCCAGUGUCCUGCUCUGCCCUUCUCUGUGCAUGCAUGGACACGGGCAUCUACUCACAUGUAUGAGUCACACACGUGCACACACGCUAAAUACUCAUUUCGAAAUAGCAGUCUGAAUGAAUGCAGUGUGUUUAGUGCUUUCUUUCUUUGGACUAAUUUUAUCCCUUGUCCUGUAAACUUUCUGCUGUAGAAACAUUAUAAACAAGUUUUGAGGUCACUAGGAACCUUUGAUGUUUUGCAGGCCAUACUGAGAUGUGGUAAUUUAAGAAGAGCAAUAGCCCAUGGGGUCUUCAUACUGAAUUAUGCUAUGCCACUAACAGUUUUUGGAAGAUUAAAAUUAAUAACUUCAUUAAAUUGACACAUUUCACAUGUGUGAAAAUUACUUUAAAAAUUUCCCCUAAAAGUCUUUAUUAAAAACAUAUUUAUUUUGUGUUUGAAAAUAAAAUUGGAAGUGUCUCUCUGCUUUUGUUCAGAGAAUUGUUUGUGCAACUUUUUGUUUAAAUUGGAUUAGUACCAUGUUAAUUUUACAUUGCCUCUGGUGAAUAGCCACGAGGCUAUAAUCUCUGCCAGUAAUUUGUCACAUUGAAUCCCUCUGGAGGGCCAUAGAAAACAUUUGUGUAGUGCGGAUUAGACGGUGAAAGCCGUAUCUUAGAUUGUUAAUAAAUGUUAAUGACAGAACCCAGCUGGUACGGCCUGCAACUAAGAGCUAAAGCCUGGUGCCCAUUGCCAGAGCAACGAUUAAGGAGAGCUUUCCAUCACUCAGAGGCAGCCUAGGGUAGUCAGUCUGUGAAGUAAGAAAUUGUAACCUUCUGAUUGUUUAGAAAAAACUUUCCUUUUCAGUCUCAGCCUCAACCCAACUUGUAUGUUUUCUAAAGUUUUUUAAUAACUGAUGACAACAACUGUAAUAAAUAAAUAUGACAUGAAGUGAGCCCCAAUUUAGAAAACAAGGAAACAAUACUCUUAUAUUUUGGGUUUGGCGUCUUGAGAUAUUAAAACUACUUGUUUGAUAUGCAGGGGCAAUUUAGUUUCCUUUUUCCUCUUUGUGAAAAUAUGCUGUAGAAAUAUUUUUAAACAGUACCUAAACAAAUGCUUGAGUGAUAACAUACCUGAGGUCUGCACUGGUCUUCAUGGUCUAAAUGAGAAUGUCACCAAAGCCCCUUCUAGAGUGUAGAUCUGCAAGCAGAAUAAAAGCUGCAUUGUUUAAAGAUAAAAGAAUCAUGGUAUAAAGCAUGAAUUAGUCAUAAAAAAUCUAACAUUUUCACUAUGUUAUAUACUUUAAAACUCUGUAUAUUUGUUCUCAGGACAGGAAACAGAACUAAGACUUUAUUUAGUAGCACGUGAGUCCCUUACCAUAUUUGUGCACAGUAGAUGUGUUUAAAACUAAGCCCAUAUAUUCAGUUAGAGCAACACAGACUUCAUCGGCUGACAUCAGCACUAUCUUGUCCAGCCUCCUGCUUAUCCUCUCAGAGUAAUUAAUUUGAUUAAUUUAUAAGUAAUUUAGCCAAGGAUGGGGAUGUAAAUCUUUGUUUAAGAAAACAGUUGGAGGUCCAAGUCUUAGUUAAAAACUGUGUCUUGAAACCAUCCAGGCCCUCCUACUGGCUUGUCAGCUCUGGGUUAUUUUCAGAAAACUGGACUUGAGUUCCUUAGUUUAGUUCUGCGUUUUUCCCACAGACUUGGAUGGUAUGUGUGAGUGGGAGAGUAAGUAGUGGCCACUCUGUAGCAGCUGUUUAGUCUACUGUGUGCAUGUUUACAUCUCCUUUCUGAAUUUAUAGGCAGCCAGGGCAAAAUCAAGAUUAUACUCACUUGAUUGAGGAGCCUUUAACCCGGAGCACCUGGCAAUGGAAGGCAUUGCCCUGGCCCUUGUUUUUGCAUGCACAUGUGAUUAUUAACAAUAUGGCAUACUUCCUUUAAAACUCAAGGCGUUUAAAAGAUUUCUCUGAUAUGUUUUAGAAUAAAACUGUGUCAAGUUGGGGGAGGUGUUAAGUUCAUUUUUAAAGUAGCCUAAAGUUAAAUAAUCAAUUUCUGUUCAUUUUUCUCCUUAUAGUCAUACUUUUUCAUAUUAUUUAAAAACAGUGCAAAUUUUUCUAGUUGUAGUGGUAGACAUUUGUAAUCCCAGCAUUCAGGGGUCAGAGGCAAAAGGAUCAGGACUCCACAGUAAGAGCACUGGCUCAGAAACCUGUAGAAGCUGCAUUAAGUAACAGAGAAGUAAUAACAAGCAGUCCAUCUCCCUUCCUUCCCCUUUUGCCCAGAUCCUUUUCUUUCCUUAAAAAUAACUUGUUAAAGAAUGCAUUUAUGGAUAGGUAUGCACACCCAUGCGUGCACCCAGGAGGACCACGCAAAGGUCACACACACACUUCUUGGUUGCUCUCAGGGGACUGGGCACUCACUAGCUGGCUAGCCUGACUCCCAGUGCUGUGGUACAGAUGCACGGCACCAUCCCUGGUGUUUACUGUAGGGCGUGGAGAUGCCAGUGCACUUGCUUUAGGCUUACACAGAAGCACUGUACACACGGGGUUUCCCCCAACCUCUUAUCUUUGAACUGUACCUUCUUGCUUUCCGCUAAUUACCAUUAUCCUGAAUCUUUUCUUUGUCAUUUCAGCACAUAAGAUAUUUUAAAACUAUAUCCAGGAAAGCCUGCUGACUUAGAGCUGUAAUCUCAAGUCUGUAUAAAGAUGAGCAGGAAGGAUGAGCGCAAGGCUAGCCCGGGCAAGCUGGUGAGACCUUGUGUCAGCGAGUGGCCCUGUCUGCCGGCUGUAAGGAGAGUGAUAGAACAACACAGCCACCCCGCCAUGCCCCACCACGCCCCACCCCACUGCGCCCCAACCCCUUCACAUUUGGCUACAAAACCAGUAAAGAGAGCUGGGAAGAAACCGGGCAACUGGUCACCUCACAUUUUUGAGCUUCCAUACUCAGGGCCUGCUUAGCACUGGGCAGUUUUAAAAUCCUAAAGGCCUCUUGACAUAUAGUAUUAUUUGUUUUCACAUGUUUUACUCUCUAGAUACCUGGAGUAGUAUUCUAUGAAAAUGCACCACACUUAAUGUAGGUUUUAUAUGCAGUCUUUAGUAAAACUGCUCUUACAGGUUUCCCUGUGGUAAGGCAGUCUUAGCAGUCCUCACACAAGUAACAGUUUUCAGAUGUUUAUACCC